rnacentral:rRNA from 1 species
GUGGGGAAUAUUGGACAAUGGGCGCAAGCCUGAUCCAGCCAUACCGCGUGGGUGAAGAAGGCCUUCGGGUUGUAAAGCCCUUUUGUUGGGAAAGAAAAGCAGCCGGCUAAUACCCGGUUGUUCUGACGGUACCCAAAGAAUAAGCACCGGCUAACUUCGUGCCAGCAGCCGCGGUAAUACGAAGGGUGCAAGCGUUACUCGGAAUUACUGGGCGUAAAGCGUGCGUAGGUGGUUGUUUAAGUCUGUCGUGAAAGCCCUGGGCUCAACCUGGGAACUGCGAUGGAAACUGGGCGACUAGAGUGUGGUAGAGGGUAGCGGAAUUCCUGGUGUAGCAGUGAAAUGCGUAGAUAUCAGGAGGAACAUCCAUGGCGAAGGCAGCUACCUGGGCCAACACUGACACUGAGGCACGAAAGCGUGGGGAGCAAACAGGAUUAGAAACCCUAGUAGUCC